rnacentral:rRNA from 1 species
CCUACGGGAGGCAGCAGUAGGGAAUCUUCCGCAAUGGGCGAGAGCCUGACGGAGCAACGCCGCGUGAGUGAUGAAGGGUUUCGGCUCGUAAAACUCUGUUAUUAGGGAAGAACAAAUGUGUAAGUAACUGUGCACAUCUUGACGGUACCUAAUCAGAAAGCCACGGCUAACUACGUGCCAGCAGCCGCGGUAAU